AAUGGUAUUGCAUAAAAACGACCAGAGAUAAGUAGAGACGGAGAGGGAGAGAGACGCAUGAAUUUAGAAGUUCAAAACAGUCUUGGAAACCAAUAGGAAGUCCAGGGUUAUUACAGUCUCCUCCGGGUCUCAUUCAGGAUGUAUCCUCUAGCAAAAUACGUUCUCAUCCUCCAAAUUAUUAUCCUCUUUUCCAUGACCAGCCAGGCUCUGCUAUGCGAGAAUUGUUAUGAAGUGUCAUGCGUGGAUCCUACGGACUGCAAGGGGGGGCUGGUGCCUGAUCUCUGCGGGUGCUGCAAAGUUUGUGGCAAGCUGAAGGGUGAGCGCUGCGGAGGACAGUUUGGAUUGGGUGGGAACUGCGAAGAGGGCCUGAAGUGCAUGUACAGACAACCAUGGAAUCCUAGCGGGUUUGGGGUUUGUGAAGAAUCCAGGCAGUAGGCUUCCAGUUGGGGCAGAGAAUGAAUGUCAUGAAAUUGCUUCGAGGCGAGCUCAUCCAGAAUGGUCAACCGAACAUGUGAUUGCUGCAAAAAGAGAAUGGAGCUGCAGGACCAGUGCUCUGCCAGUUUAAAUUUGCUAUGUGUUUGCAGUUUGUACAGUUUAAAUCAGCAUCAGAAUGCUAUUCUAUACAACUACCAUAUCUAACAGCAUGAUUAUUAGACUUAAUUUUAGCCCAUAUACUAUGAUACCAAUUACAUGAGUGAAAUGUAAUGUAGUAUGAAUUGCUUGUUAAUUAACCAGCACCAAUAAAUGCAUACAUUUGCAACCAAA